rnacentral:misc_RNA from 1 species
UCUUCACACACGUCGUCUGCGAGAAAAUUUUGAUGGUGACAGAAUUUACGGAAAAUUUGAAUCGGAGAUAUGGAGACCAGCAGCGUGGCAGCAGGAGCAAAUUUUGGCCGUGAUGAGGCGUAUACCACCAUCAACAAUGCUGCAAUUGCAGUCACUACCACCACUGCUGCCACCACUAUCAGUGCUGCUGAUGCCACCACCACCAAGUCUGCUUCUGCCACUGCCAUCACCAUUGCCACCGCCACUACCAAGACCACUCCUGACACAAAGCCCCCAAGUCCUCAACUGACCAGAUAUUGCAGCUGGAGAAGGAUAGACCAGGAACUUCAAAGCCAGGGCUUGUUGGUCUCCUACAAUAAGAAAAAUGCCAAGGGCCCAUCUAAUGAACUUGUAGAAUAUUUGGCCACAGUUGUAGAAAUGCAGAGACUAACAUACUGCCACAGGUGAGGCUUUGUCCGCAGUUCCGGAAAGACAAGCCAUGCCAAAAUCAACGACUGAAGGGUUUGGAGCGCCAGACAAAGAGCCUAGAAAUGUGAUUUAACCGUACUUCAAUCACAUGAACAGUAGCAGGAGCAAAAACAGCAGCAAACACACAGGAGAUGUAACGACUACAUUGACCAAUACCAACAACUACAGCAGCAUCAACAAUAUCUGCAAAAACCACACUGGCAACCUCAACAACAUCAAGAUGUUCAACAACCACUCCGGGAAUUCAACAAACACAUCAGCAGAAA